GGGGAAUAUUGGACAAUGGGCGAAAGCCUGAUCCAGCCAUGCCGCGUGUGUGAAGAAGGUCUUCGGAUUGUAAAGCACUUUAAGUUGGGAGGAAGGGCAUUAACCUAAUACGUUGGUGUCUUGACGUUACCGACAGAAUAAGCACCGGCUAACUCUGUGCCAGCAGCCGCGGUAAUACAGAGGGUGCAAGCGUUAAUCGGAAUUACUGGGCGUAAAGCGCGCGUAGGUGGUUUGUUAAGUUGAAUGUGAAAUCCCCGGGCUCAACCUGGGAACUGCAUCCAAAACUGGCAAGCUAGAGUAUGGUAGAGGGUAGUGGAAUUUCCUGUGUAGCGGUGAAAUGCGUAGAUAUAGGAAGGAACACCAGUGGCGAAGGCGACUACCUGGACUGAUACUGACACUGAGGUGCGAAAGCGUGGGGAGCAAAC
rnacentral:rRNA from 1 species